rnacentral:rRNA from 1 species
UACGUAGGGGGCAAGCGUUGUCCGGAAUCAUUGGGCGUAAAGCGCGUGUAGGCGGCUCGAUAAGUCUGCUGUGAAAGUUCAGGGCUCAACCCUGAAAUGCCGGUGGAAACUGUCGAGCUAGAGUCCAGAAGAGGCGAGUGGAAUUCCUGGUGUAGCGGUGAAAUGCGCAGAUAUCAGGAGGAACACCAAUGGCGAAGGCAGCUCGCUGGGACGGUACUGACGCUGAGACGCGAAAGCGUGGGGAGCAAACAGG